GAUGAACGCUGGCGGCGUGCUUAACACAUGCAAGUCGAACGGAAAGGCUCCUGCUUGCAGGGGUACUCGAGUGGCGAACGGGUGAGUAACACGUGGGUGAUCUGCCCUGCACUUCGGGAUAAGCUUGGGAAACUGGGUCUAAUACCGGAUAGGACCGCAUUUUGGAUGGUGUGGUGGAAAGUUUUUUCGGUGUGGGAUGAGCUCGCGGCCUAUCAGCUUGUUGGUGGGGUAAUGGCCUACCAAGGCGUCGACGGGUAGCCGGCCUGAGAGGGUGUACGGCCACAUUGGGACUGAGAUACGGCCCAGACUCCUACGGGAGGCAGCAGUGGGGAAUAUUGCACGAUGGGCGCAAGCCUGAUGCAGCGACGCCGCGUGGGGGAUGACGGCCUUCGGGUUGUAAACUCCUUUCGCUAGGGACGAAGAGUAAUUGACGGUACCUGGAGAAGAAGCACCGGCUAACUACGUG
rnacentral:rRNA from 1 species